rnacentral:rRNA from 1 species
AUUAAUAACUAAUUUUGUGCCAGCAGUUGCGGUUAUACAAAAAUUAAAUUAAAUUAUUUCAGUUUAUAAUAAAUAAAAUAAAAAUAAAAAUAAAUAUUAAAUUAUUAGGUGAAAUUUUAAUUUAAUUAAAUUUUAAGUUAAUUUUAUGAUUUAAUAAAUUUAAUAAUAAACUAGGAUUAGAUACCCUAUUAUUAAAAAUUUAAUUUAUAAUACUAAAAUAGUAAAUAAAAAAUAUUGAAACUUAAAUAAUAUGGCGGUAUUUUAGUUCAUUUAGAGGAAUCUGUCUAAUAAUUGAUAAUCCACGAAUAAAUUUACUUAAUUUAAAAUUUUAUAUAUCGUUGUUAAAAAAAUAUUUUAUAAUAAAAAUAAUAUUUAAAAAUUUAAAUAAGAAAUUAAUUCAGAUCAAGAUGUAGAAUAUAAUUAAGAAUAUGAUGGAUUACAAUAAAAUAAUUAUUGGAAUAAGUCGUAACAAAGUAGAGGUACUGGAAAGUGUUUCUA